rnacentral:rRNA from 1 species
AGUGAACGCUGUCGGUAGGCCUAACACAUGCAAGUCGAACGGCAGCACAGUAAGAGCUUGCUCUUACGGGUGGCGAGUGGCGUACGGGUGAGGAAUACAUCGGAAUCUACUUUUUCGUGGGGGAUAACGUAGGGAAACUUACGCUAAUACCGCAUACGACCUACGGGUGAAAGCAGGGGAUCUUCGGACCUUGCGCGAUUGAAUGAGCCGAUGUCGGAUUAGCUAGUUGGCGGGGUAAAGGCCCACCAAGGCGACGAUCCGUAGCUGGUCUGAGAGGAUGAUCAGCCACACUGGAACUGAGACACGGUCCAGAAUCCUACGGGAGGCAGCAGUGGGGAAUAUUGGACAAUGGGCGCAAGCCUGAUCCAGCCAUACCGCGUGGGUGAAGAAGGCGUUCGGGUUGUAAAGCACUUUUGUUGGGAAAGAAAAGCAGAAGGUUAAAACCCCGAUGUUCUGACGGUACACAAAGAAUAAGCAACGGCUAAAUUCGUG